CUAAUAAUAGAUAACUCUGUAACAAUAGUAGCAGCUUUGGACUCGUCUAAUUUGAAUGGCUUGUUCCUGCCACUCGUCUUGCCAAGACCGGUGACGAGACAGCGUCGGCAGUCUCCUGUCCCGGUAGCAAAAUUACAGCGAACAUCUGACAACGUCUGCCUGCGUGCCUUAACGGCUGCUGACUGUACCAAUAGAAAUCGUAGCGAUAACCAUCGGCAGAGUACGUAACCGCAAGGCCUGCAGUAAUAGCGUAACUGAGCACUCGAAAGGCAGUGAACAACAGCUUUUUUAUCGCAAUGUACUAGUGUGCUAACCAUAGGCAACAACAGCGUCUUGGUACGUAUAGACAUUCGCAGUCGGACAUAUUAAAGGAGGUAAGAGCACGCCUACAGAACCUUACCGACUUUAUUGCUGCAUAUAUAGUAGAAGCGCUAGCAAUAAUAGCAAUAGAACGCGAGCGAAGUUAGCAUUUCUGAUUUGUCGUCUGAUAAUGGGCUGCUAUAUCGACAUCCUGUGUCCUUGAUUCGGAACACAUAUGGAUCAGAUAAAUAGAGCGAGCCAAAAAAUACGCCAAUGUUAUAUACACAAACGAACGAACUGUGAUACAAGCAAGCAUAUAUAUGAUUGUUGUCGAAACACAGCCGUGGAAUGGAUUCGAUUUUGGCUGGGGCGUUUUGCUGUCUGGCAUUUAAGUCCGUUCAGUCGUUGUCCGAAUUCUAUUCUUUCGUUUCCGUAACUUCUUCGUUAUGUCUCAGGAAUUGUAGGCCCCUACGAGCGAUAACUUGUUACUGAAGGUCUAUUUUGGGUGGUUUAAUAACGACCGCCUUUUUCGGCGGCGUUCAUUUUGCCACUGCUUCAUCCUGAAGUGUUUUUGCCUUCAUAACAGAUAUGCAAGUAAAUACUGAAGAUGAACAGAUCGCCGGCUGAUUUGCCUGAAGUGUCCCCCGAAGACAGCAACCAUUUUCUGUUUAAAAGAAAUAGAAGACCAUUCUGUCAAUUCCCUGUUCUUCUUCGUGUCAUCCCCAAGAACGGUUAUUUCAAAGCGUGCGAAAUAGUACUUUGUACGAGAGGCAGUACAUGUUUUAUUGCCGCCUUUUCGUCUGCAACACCAAUUGCCGGAGGGCGCCUCUGGCAAGCCAUUCUUAUUUAAUCUGACGCCAUUCAUAGCAUUCUAUAGUAUCGAGAGGCGGACCAAAGUCUUUUGACAGUACUUUGUUGUUAUCAACGGGUCUAUCGAAUGAGUCAACUAAACAUAGCACGCGGACCAUUGAACCAUCCAGCUAGAUGACAGCCAAGCGAUCCGGAUCGUCCGUAAUCUGUGCAGAGAGAUACCCACCUACAUCAGCACCGAUAAUAGAAAUCUACAAAUAACAGCUAUGAGAACAAUGAAGGCAUGAAUCUGAACCAAGUGAAUCUGCAUCACGGUGCUCCUUUCUAUUCUUCGUGUGUCUGUACACAGUGAUUCGGUCAACGGAAUAUUUAACUCAGUGAAGGAAAUCGACGAAAGUGGUCCAAUGGAAUUAAAGUGGAGACGGGUUGUUUUGAAAGUCAA